GAGCAACAAGAAUGGCUUCUUCAGUCUUUCAGAUGAUGAUGGCCAUAGGGCUGCUCACUUUGAUUCUUACUUCUUAUGCUGGUGACAACAAUUCCAACUCUGAUCAAAACAAGGACAAAGAAAUCUCAGAAAUGUUUUCAUUUCUGGGCAUGGGAAUUAUUGAAUCUGCGAUGGACUAUAUUCUCAACUCAAUGUUCAGGACCUCUGGAUAUAUGAAUUGGGGAAACAAGCAAGGAAAGACUCCAGGAAAAUGACUGGUCAUCUCCUGAUCAAUGGUGAGGAAGAGGAGCUCCUGCUUUCCCCUCCACCUAAACACAACUCUCUCUCUCAAGAGUUCUUCGCUGCCCAAUUAAACCACUACUCAACUGAUCUGGUACUGAAAUGUAUGAUUUAGAGCUGCCUUGCUAUUUUAUGCAUAGAACUAGAAAUGUUUCUGAUUUUUUUCUGCCAGUUACAAGAUAUUUCUUGCAUACAAUCAUUGUUUUCAUCCAAUGACCUAACGCCCUGUAAUUCUUUCAAAUUGAUGGAGAAUGGUCUUAAAAUGAGAAUUUGGGCCUUUUGUGAUUAAUUGGGUGGCAGGACAAACCUCACCCUUAAGCUGUGGUCUAUGAUCUAAGAGCAUAUGUUAUUAGGCUAGUUCCAGGUCUAACAUUUCAUGGUAUAUAUUCAAAGGCCACUUCCUGUUCAGGCACUGUAUUGUUGUUGGUUUUGUUUGUCCUUCGUUUUCAAAGAGGACCAAUGACAUUAUGAAGUAAUGUCCUAACUCAUGUGUGAAUCGGAUUCAAAUGGGCAGAGUUGCACAGUCAUCAGCUUCAUUCUGUCUUCCAGAGUCAUUGAAGUCCAGAGGCAAGACAAAAGUCAGGAUGACUGGCAAUGGCCUGGGUUGCAGUGGAUUACCUUGAGGUCUUUGAUGUCUGGCCAAAUUCUGAGCACCCCACAGUGCCUGCUUUAGCCACCCUCAUGGUCAUUGGAACAGAUUGUUCUCA